GGCCGGUCCACAUAGAAUCCGAAAAUAACUAACCCUAUCCUAGCAAAAGGGGAAAACGCCGCUGUUGAUACAAAUCUGGUGUUUAAAGAGACAAGGCAGAGAGAUAAGACACAGAGAGAAAGAUGUGGAGAUGGAUGAGGAAAGGGUCUCUGAACGAAUGGAAGCCACUUUUUCGCAGAUCAAUGGAGAAAGCGGAGGAGAUUUAUGUGAGCAAUUGGUUCGAUAUCUUGGUCGUGAGGGGUGGCUUGGCUGUCACCAUUGCCGCUUCAACUGCGAGGCACCGUAAGAAUAAGAAGAAUUCAUAGAUGCUGCUCGUACGAUCUGCUUAUAUAUUUAUAUUUAUGUAAACACCAAUGUUGUGAGUAAUUAUGUCUAUUAGAUGAACAUGGCUGGAAGUAAACUACUUUUAUUAGAACUCUGUCUUUUGUGGUGUUGAUCUUACAACUCUUAUCAUGUUUGAUCUGUUGGUUGUUGUUUAUCUUCAAAAAGAAGAAUAUUGAUUUUUAGCUCAGUAAUUACUAAUUUCGGAUACA